ACUACUAUAUGUUGCCUUCAUUUCCUAUUCUAUGAUGGUACUAAUUAUAAAUUCUACUAAAUUGUACUAAGUGGCGGCAGCUGAUUAUUUACUGCUCAGGGGGCUCGAUGAGGAACUCUGCAGAAAAUUUAAAUGGAAUUCUCAAAGCCCCCCCCUUUCCGUCCCCACACCUAAGCAAAAAAAAAUUCUGAGACCCUCUCCAAACUGUUAGUGAAGCAUUUCAUUCCUACAGUCAAACCGGGUGUUCUCUUGCGUGCAACAUUGCAAUAUUUUGUCUCGCAAUAUUGCAAUUUUGAUAAGCAGGUUGCAUGAUCUGAGAAAUUGCUGUGCUGAGUGGUAAUAUAUUACAACCUGAAAUAAACAAGCAGAAACUCAAUGUUUGGAGCGAAGGCCCUUGCUUAGUUACUACUAGGGCCCUUGCUUGAAACAUCCAGUUUCUGCUUGUUUAUUUUAGGUAGUAAUAUGACUACUCAGCACAGCAAUUUCACAUUGGUACUACCCACACUAGUACAGACAGUUUUAGGUUGCUCUGAGCAAUUUGCAACCGACGCAAAAAAAUUGCAAGUUGAAAUUCACAAAAGAUUUGUAAACAAAGCCUCUGAUUGGAUUAUAAGAAAGAUGGAAGCCAAACAAAUAGUCCGAGCAACUGGAUUGGUGCUUGCAAUUUGUUUAUGUC